rnacentral:rRNA from 1 species
ACCUUGGACAGAAUCCUUCGGGAGGAAGACCAUUGUGACUGAGUGGCGGACGGGUGAGUAACGCGUGGGUAACCUGCCUUGUACAGGGGGAUAACAGUUGGAAACGACUGCUAAUACCGCAUAAGACCACAGCACCGCAUGGUACAGUGUGAAAAACUCCGGUGGUGUGAGAUGGACCCGCGUCUGAUUAGGUAGUUGGUGGGGUAACGGCCUACCAAGCCGACGAUCAGUAGCCGACCUGAGAGGGUGACCGGCCACAUUGGGACUGAGACACGGCCCAAACUCC